rnacentral:sRNA from 1 species
CUUGGUCAUUUAGAGGAAGUAAAAGUCGUAACAAGGUUUCCGUAGGUGAACCUGCGGAAGGAUCAUUAGUGAAUUGAGCUGGCUUCGGCCGCUCUGAUCUAUACACACCUGUGAACUGUUGGCCUUCGGGUCUUUAAUUACAACUGUGACGAACGUAAAUUAUUAUAACAAAUAAAACUUUUAACAACGGAUCUCUUGGCUCUCGCAUCGAUGAAGAACGCAGCGAAAUGCGAUAAGUAAUGUGAAUUGCAGAAUUCAGUGAAUCAUCGAAUCUUUGAACGCACCUUGCGCUCCCUGGUAUUCCGGGGAGCAUGUCUGUUUGAGUGUCAUGAACUCUUCAACCCACCGGUUUCUUGUAAACUGGCUGGUGUUUGGUUUCUGAGUGUUGCUCGUCCUUGUGACUGAGCUCAUUCGUAAUAUAUGAGCAUCUCUAAUUCGAAUUCGGAUUGACUCAGUGUAAUAGACUAUUCGCUGAGGACACACCUAGUGUGGCCGAAUAAGAUAAUUGUAGAAGCUUCUAACCCUUCUAGUCAUUUUAAGAUUAGACCUCAGAUCAGAUAGGACUACCCGCUGAACUUAAGCAUAUCAAUAAGCGGAGGAAAAGAAACUAACAAGGAUUCCCCUAGUAACGGCGAGUGAAGCGGGAAGAGCUCAAAUUUGUAAUCUGGCACUUUCAGUGUCCGAGUUGUAAUCUCGAGAAGUGUUUUCCGCGCCGGACCGCAUACAAGUCUGUUGGAAUACAGCGUCAUAGUGGUGAGAACCCCGUAACUGAUGCGGAUGCCCGGUGCUUUGUGAUACACUUUCGAAGAGUCGAGUUGUUUGGGAAU